ACGACUCUCGACAACGAAUAUCUCGACUCUCGUAUCGAUGGAGAACGUAGCGAAAUGCGAUACUUGGUGUGAAUUGCAGAAUCCCGUGAACCAUCAAGUUUUUGAAUGCAAGUUGCGCCUGAAGCCAUUUGGCUGAGGGAACGUCUGCCUGGAUGUUACACAACGUCGCUCCACCCCCCAGAUCUGAGACGGUGCGGAUGUUGGCCUCCCGACAGCUCGAAAGGGCCACACGGCUGGCCGAAAUGAAAGUCGUCGGUAAGGGAUGCCAUGGUGAGCUGUGGUUGACACGAUACUACUAUGGUAUUGUAGCCGUGGGCGGUUCCUUGUCGGCUGCUAAGUGAUGGACAGAGAGGACAGGCGUGAACACCCGUUGAGUUUAAGCAUAUCAAUAAGCGGAGGAAAACUUAUCAAGAUUGCCUUAGUAACGGCGAGCAAAAUGGGAAGAGCCCAGCUUGAGAAGGGUGAGAGCCCCAUUGUGCCCGUACUUUGUCGCACCACAAGGCGCUGUCUACGAGUCGGGUUGUUUGGGAAUGCAGCCCUAAUCGGGCGGUAGAUUCCGUCCAAGGCUAAAGACGGGCGAGAGACCGAUAGCGAACAAGUACCGCGAGGGAAAGAUGAAAAGGACUUUGAAAAGAGAGUCAAAGAGUGCUUGAAAUUGUCGAAAGGGAAGUGGAUGGAGGUCGGUGAUGCACCCCGGUCGGAUGUGGAACGGCGAGAGCCGGUUCGCCGAUCGCCUCGGGGUGCUGACCGACGCCGAUUGCGGCUGGGGGGCCAGAGCCGCGCCCUUGAAGACCUCGUUGCCUUUGAAAAUCUUGUGGAGAUGCCGCCACCGCGAUAGUGGACUACAACACGCACCGUCACCGCGUGCUUACGCACCUGCACGCUACAGGCGUUGGCCUGUGGGCUCUCCAUUCAGACUGUUUUGAAACACGAACCAAGGAGUCUGACAUGUGUGCGAGUCAACGGGUGAGUAAACCCGUAAGGCGCAAGGAAGCUGACUGGCGGGAACCCCUCGGGGUUGCACCGCCGACCGACCUUGAUCUUCUGAGAAGGGUUCGAGUGCGAGCAUGCCUGUCGGGGCCCGAAAAUGGUGAACUAUGCUUGAGCAGGGUGAAGCCAUAGCAAACUCUGGUGGAGGCCCGCAGCGAUACUAACGUGCAAAUCAAUAGUCUAACUUGGGUAUAAGGGCGAAAGACUAAUCGAACCGUCUAGUAGCUGGUUCCCUCCCAAGCUUCCCUCGGGAUGGCUGGAGCUCAGACCGAGUUCUAUCGGGUAAAGCCAAUGAUUAGGGGCAUCGGGGGUGCAACGCCCUCGACCCAUUCUAAAACUUUAAAUAGGUAGGACAAGGCGGCUGCUUCGAUGAGCCGCUCCGUGGAAUCGAGAGCUCCAAGUGAGCCAUUUUUGGUAAGCAGAACUGGCGAUGCGGGAUGAACCGGAAGCCGGGUUUCAUGCCUAACUACGCGCUAACCUAGAACACACCAAGGGUGUUGGUCGAUUAAGACAAUAGGACGAUGGUCAUGGAAGUCGAAAUCCGCUAAGGACUGUGUAACAACUCACCUGCAAAAUCAACUAGCCUCGAAAAUGGAUGGCGCUUAAGCGUGCGACCCAUACCCGGCCGUCGGGGCAAGGGCCUGGCUCCGAUGAGUUGGAAGGCGCGGCGGUCACCGUAAAGUCCAGAGCGCGAGAUCGGGCGGAGCGGCCGUCGGUGCAGAUCUUGGUGGUAGUAGCAGAUAUUUAAAUGAGAACUUUGAAGGCCGAAGAGAGGAAAGGUUCCAUGUGAACGGCACUUGCACAUGGGUUAGGUGAUCCUAAGAGAUGGGGGAAACCCGUAUAAUAGCGCGUCCGUGCUCGAGCAUCAAAAGGGAAUUAGGUGAAAAUACCACUACUUUUAAGGUUAUUUUACUUAUUCCGUGAAUUGGAGGUGGGGCACUGCCCCUCCUUUUGAACUAAAGGCCGUUCGGUAGGCCGAUCCGUGCGGAAGACAUUGUUAGGUGGGGAGUUUGGCUGGGGCGGCACAUAUGUUAAAAGAUAACGCAGGUGUCCUACGAUGAGCUGAACAAGAACAGAAAUCUCGUGUGGAAUGAAAGGGUAAAAGCUCGUUUGAUUCUGAUUUCCAGUACGAAUACAAACCAUGAAAGCGUGGCACAUCGAUCCUUUAGACCUUCGGAAUUUGAAGUUAGAGGUGUCAGAGAAGUUACCACGAGGAUAACUGGCUUGUGGCAGCCAAGCGUUCAUAGUGACGUUGCGUUUUCAUCUUUCGACGUCGGCUCUUCCUAUCAUUGUGAAGCAGAAUUCACCAAGUGUUGGAUUGUUCACCCACCAAUAGGGAACGUGUGCUGGGUUUAAACUGUCAUGAGACAUGUUUGUUUUACCCUACUGAUGACCACGUCGCGACACUAAUCCAACCUAGUACGAGAGGAACCGUUGAUUCGCACAAUUGGUCAUCGAGUUUAGUUGAAAACCCAGUGGCGCCUAGCUACCAUGCGCUGGAUUAUGAAUGAACGCCUAUAAGUAAGAAUCCGAACUGGCACCGACGCCUUUGUCGACUAGCGGUAGAGGCCAUCCGGCCCCUAAAGGCAUGUGUCGUUGGCCAAGUCUGUUGGACGGAAGAGUCCAUAGGGCCGCCCUGAAGUUUAAUUUGCACCGAGCAGCGGAUAGAAUCAUUUGC
rnacentral:rRNA from 1 species